AUUCUUGAGGAAAAGAUACUUGGUGCUGGGAGAGGUAAACUAGUCUGUGGCAGGAGGUUUAUCACGGGACAGACCUUGAAGCCGGGCGCGGGACGAGGCGAAGGGGCGGGGGAGGAGCGCGCGGGCGCGGUGGAGCUGCCCGUCGGUCUCCGGGCGGGGGAGGAGCGCGCGGGCGCGGGGGAGCGGCCCGUCGGUCUCCGGGCGGGGGAGGAGCGCGCGGGCGCGGGGGAGCGGGCCGUCGGUCUCCGGGCGGGGGAGGAGCGCGCGGGCGCGGGGGAGCGGCCCGUCGGUCUCCGGGCGGGGGAGGAGCGCGCGGGCGCGGGGGAGCGGCCCGUCGGUCUCCCGGGCGGGGGAGGAGCGCGCGGGCGCGGGGGAGCGGGCCGUCGGUCUCCGGGCGGGGGAGGAGCGCGCCGGUGCGGGGGAGCGGACCGUGCUGUUCCGGGACGAGGGUGCCCUCCCGGAGCGCUGGCGGAGCCGGCAGAGGGCGCGCGGGCCGGGCACGGCGGCGGAGCAGCGGGCAGGGGCGCGCACCGCGUCCUGAAGACGCGGUCAGGGCUGGUCUUUGUUCUAAGAUGGAGGCGAGGCCUGACCAGACCGCGUCUGGAAGGGCUCCCUCUCUGCCCUGCUGCGAACGCGCGGGAACAGGACAGGCGGCCGCCGGAGCUCAGGGAGGAGGGCGCGUGUCCCGGAGCCCCGCGCGUCGGGAUCGGUUCCUCCCUGCCCAGGGGCUGUCCGCCAGCACCCAGGAUAUCAGAAUCUUUAUGUUGUCAUGAGAGUUCGAGAGGAAAUGAAGGCAGAAGAGGGCACUCGACUCCGCAUGCUUACUCGGGCCGUUACUCCAGCUCUCUCCAGUGGGAAAGGAAGGACUUGAAAUUGACUCUGUGGACAUUCCACUCGGUCUGAGAAUGUUGCUGAAUCCCCCAUGUCUCCUGGCACAGUUCACACCCCUCAGUGAACUUGCGUUGGCCACGUAAAAAAGGUGAGCAAUUACUGCUUGUUGACCACGUGAAUCAAUAAGUGAAUCAGGAGUUCACCGGCAGUGCUGUUGACUCCUCUGGAAGCUAAAGGACUCAAAACCCAGAAGAGGGGAGAGCACAGAAGGUUUAGUGAACUUGGGAGCAGUGGCUCCCACGGCAGGUUGCCAAUUAGGAUCACCUGGGAAGCUUCAGGAAUUAUAGAUCCCUGGAGAUCAUUCCAGAACUAACUGAAUCCUAAUCUCAGGGACUGGGUCCUGGGGAAUCUGCCUUUUUACAAAGCAACUGCUCACCUCUAGCCUUCUUGUUACAUGAAAAAUGUAAGCCGCUAGCGUUUAAGGCACUGCUCAUUAUAUUUUUUGUCACUUGCAGCUGAAAGCAUUCCUGACAGAUACCCGGGGCUCAUAAGAGUCCUGAAGCACCGAGUGGGGGCGGGCAUUCAUUCAGGGGAGUGUGGAUGGGGCUCAGCAAACAUCUCUGGGGACAUGCAGCAGCUGAGGGCCUUGAGGGGAGCGGUGGGGAUGGGGAAGCCUCUUAGGUGCUCCCCAGGCUUCCAAUGCUGACCUGCUCCUCCCUGCUCCUGCCCUCGCCCAGCCCAGCAGACCUACUCUGGUCUCCCUGGGAGGCACUGGGGUGUGGUUGUCCAGCAAUUCCUCUCUAGUCUUUCUCCUUGUUCCAUGUUUAUCCAUGUGCUUCAUGCUCCUAGCCUCACUUUUUGAUUCUCAAAAGCUCUUUUGGAGUCACAAAGCUCAACCUUGACUAUUUUUGGCUCUUUUCAACCCCUCUCUCUCAACCUUCCUUUUCCAUGAGGCCACUUGGUUAUUGUACCAGGAAGUGGGGAAAGAAAAACCCACAGAUAAAUAUCUUAAGGUAGUAUCUUGCCAUGUUUGUUAAAAACAACCUGCCCAUUGUGGCCUCAUGUCAGGGAG
rnacentral:lncRNA from 1 species